AAGUAAUGAAGUAAAAUUUACAUUUAGUUUCGACCUAAAAUCAGAGAAUUAUCUCCAUACUUG
rnacentral:tRNA from 1 species